rfam:Felis catus isolate Cinnamon breed Abyssinian chromosome E3, whole genome shotgun sequence.
UUGGCGUCCGUGCUGGGGAGUGGUCCCCGGAGCGGGCCUCCACUCCGGCCCUUACUGGGGCCUGCACUGUCGCUCCGGGCCCG